rnacentral:misc_RNA from 1 species
UUUCGCUUACCGCCUAUUCCGAUGCUCUGGCAGCUGAAGAUGAGGCUGAACAGGAACGCCUGAUGAAGGCACAUGCGUUGAGCGUACGAAAGCACAUCGAUGAACUGGCAGCCAAAGACUAUUCCAAACUGGUGGAUGAUGCCAUCGGCUUCGUACUGAUGUUCAUUCCUAACGAGACCAGCUAUAUC